AUGGCCAUCGAUGUCCUCAACUCUCUGCUGCUUCACGCCCAUCAGCGAGGCCAGCUUCAGCGCCUUACCACCCGCCACGCCGCCUCGAGCAUAUCCCUCUUCGCCGAUGACGUGGUCAUUUUCUGCCACCCUUCCAUCCACGACCCGCGCGUCAUCCGUGAGCUGUUGCGUGUCUUUGAAGUGGCUUCCGGGCUCCGCACCAACUUCGCUAAAUGCUCGGCCACGCCCAUCCGUUGCGGUGAUGCGGAGCUCGCGUGAAUCAACGCCGAACUUGCAUGCGCUGUCCUCGAGUUUCCUAUCACCUACCUGGGCAUUCCACUGUCAGUACGGAAACCCUCCGCCUCCUCCCUGCAGCCUAUCGUUGAGAGGCUCACGAGGAAGUUGCCCACGUGGCGUGCUGCCCUCCUCUCC
rnacentral:rRNA from 1 species